GGGAGCUGUAUGAGCGGAGACGUUCACGUACAGUUCUGCGAGCGCCUGUAGGGGAAGUUCCUGCGGGCGACUCUCC
rnacentral:ncRNA from 1 species